AAUGACGGUGUCAACGAGUGGGACCUUCUGGCCCGAGAGGGUUGGGCAAACUGGUCAAUCACCGUCGUGACAGGGAUCGGGGCUUGGAAUUGUUCCCCGUGAAC
rfam:Echinococcus multilocularis genomic scaffold, pathogen_EMT_contig_0205